rnacentral:rRNA from 1 species
AGAGCGAACGCUGGCGGCAUGCUUAACACAUGCAAGUCGCACGGGCAGGGGAAACCCUGUCAGUGGCGGACGGGUGAGUAACGCGUAGGUAUCUAUCCUUGGGUGGGGGACAACUGUGGGAAACUACAGCUAAUACCGCAUGAUGACCGAGGUCCAAAGGCCGCAAGGCCGCCUGGGGAGGAGCCUGCGUACGAUUAGCUAGUUGGUGGGGUAACUGCCUACCAAGGCGACGAUCGUUAGCUGGUCUGAGAGGAUGAUCAGCCACAUUGGGACUGAGACACGGCCCAAACUCCUACGGGAGGCAGCAGUGGGGAAUAUUGGACAAUGGGCGCAAGCCUGAUCCAGCAAUGCCGCGUGGGUGAAGAAGGUCUUCGGGAUUGUAAAGCCCUUUCGACGGGGACGAUGAUGACGGUACCCGUAGAAGAAGCCCCGGCUAACUUCGCGCCAGCAGCCGC